AACGAACGCUGGCGGCAUGCCUAACACAUGCAAGUCGAACGCCUGUAGCAAUACAGGAGUGGCAGACGGGUGCAUAACACGUGGGAACCUACCCUAGGGUUCGGAAUAACCGCGGGAAACUGCGGCUAAUACCGGAUACGUCCUUCGGGAGAAAGAUUCAUCGCCCUUGGAGGGGCCCGCGUCGGAUUAGCUAGUUGGUGAGGUAACGGCUCACCAAGGCGACGAUCCGUAGCUGAUCUGAGAGGAUGAUCAGCCACACUGGAACUGAGACACGGUCCAGACUCCUACGGGAGGCAGCAGUGGGGAAUAUUGGACAAUGGGGGCAACCCUGAUCCAGCAAUGCCGCGUGGGUGAUGAAGGCCUUCGGGUUGUAAAGCCCUUUUGGCAGGGACGAUGAUGACGGUACCUGCAGAAUAAGCCCCGGCUAACUUCGUGCCAGCCGCCGCCGUAACAC
rnacentral:rRNA from 1 species